UAAGAGAUGGAGCCAGGGCUUAGAGUCCAGGAUUUCAACUCCAAAUUCACUGCUGUGUUCAUUUUAUCACAGCCUGAUGAAUGAUAACCUAAGCUGCAUCUUCCCCAAGCUAAAUGCAAUCAGUUCUUUAAGCACUUCUCUUCAACUUCUAGCCAUUGAUUUUGAUUCUGUCUUCUGGUGUAAAUUAAAAUAAAUUUAAUAGCUCUUCAUUAUGAUAGUCCUUCUAAUGCUUCAAGACAGCUAUCAUAUCCAGUUUCUUUAACUGAUCCUUAUGUGACAUGAAAGGAAGACCCCUCAUGUGAUCCUAUUCAUCUCCCCCUGGACAUGCUGUAGGUUGCCAAUGUCCGUGUACCAUCCAAU
rnacentral:lncRNA from 1 species